UACAGAGGUCUCAAGCGUUGUUCGGAUUCAUUGGGCGUAAAGGGUGUGUAGGUGGCGCGCUAAGUCGGGUGUGAAAUUUCGGAGCUUAACUCCGAAACUGCAUUCGAUACUGGCGUGCUUGAGGACUGGAGAGGAGACUGGAAUUCAUGGUGUAGCAGUGAAAUGCGUAGAGAUCAUGAGGAACACCAGUGGCGAAGGCGGGUCUCGUGGACAGUUCCUGACACUGAGACACGAAGGCCCAGGGGAGCAAACGGG
rnacentral:rRNA from 1 species